rnacentral:lncRNA from 1 species
AUCUGAGAGAAAUAAAUUUAAGUACUUAUCCAUAUUUAAGUACUAGAAGAAGAAAUAAAUUACAAAAAGCCAACACUUUAGAGGUUAGGUACAUAAGUGAAAACCAUAAAAAGUUAAAAACAAAACAUGACAAUCUAAUCUAAGUUCAGUGAAUAAGGUAGUGUUUACUUGCUGGAGUGGGAGUGUGGAGUCCUCCCAUUCCAGUGUUUACUUACCUUAAAAAAUGGGGGAGUGGGAUUCCCACUCCCAUGGGGGGAGGUGGGAGUGGGAAUCCACUCCCCCCUCUUCCCAUUUUAUACUUAUAAUUAAAAUUAAAAUAAAUAAUAUCAUAUUUAUUUUAUUAAAUUUAAUAAAAUAAAAAUAAAUAAUUAUUUAUUUAAUUAAUAAUAUAAAACAUUAAUUUUAAUAAAUAUUAAUUAUUUAUUUAAUUAAUAAUAUAAAACAUUAAUUUUAAUAAAUAUUAAUUAUUUAUUUAAUUAAUAAUAAUAAAUAUUUUAUUCUAAAAAAAUAUUAAUUUUGUACUAUAUUAUCAAUAAUAAUAUUUCAUUUGUGUUGCUAUUAUUAAUAAUUUUUAUUCACAUAAUUUAAAUUUAAAUUAAUAAAAAAUUAUGAUUUACAUAAUUAAGAAUAUUAGUAAUUAUUAUUAAUUUAUAAAUAUAAUAAAAUAUUUAUUUUAUUUUCCAAAUAUAUUUUUUAUUAAUUUUUUAAUUACAAAUUAUAAUUCUGUACAUAAGGAUAAAAUUAUAAUUUAAAACAACUUACUCCCAAUCCAAGACAAAGUAAACAAAUAAUUGGGAUUCUAAUUGACAAUUCAUACUUUCAUUUAGUCUAAGUAAACACCCUACUCUCACUCCCACUCCACACUCCUAAUCCAAGGAUUCCCACUCCAAUCCAAAAAGUAAACGCAGCAUAAGAGAAUUCUCAUGGUUCAACUGCAAAGUUGAGCGCUUGGCAAUACUUUAAUAUGGAUCAACAGAAGCCCUAAACAGAACAGUAUUUUUGAUACAGAAGGAUGAAAAUAUGAAGCCAAAAGAAAGUCAACAAGUGAAAUAUAGGGAACAGAAAGAUAAAAAUAUGAAGCCGAAAGAAAGUCAACAAGUGAAAUAUAGGGAAUUUUUUUUUUUUUUCUAUACAUAUUUUCCUUGGUGAAACCUCCGUCCCUUUGUUAUCUGUUUGUUGAUGUAAAUUGAAAAUUAGGACUUGGAAGAUUCAGAGAGAAAGAAUACCAUU